rnacentral:rRNA from 1 species
AUUGAACGCUGGCGGCAUGCCUUACACAUGCAAGUCGAACGGCAGCACGGGUGCUUGCACCUGGUGGCGAGUGGCGAACGGGUGAGUAAUAUAUCGGAACGUACCUUAUUGUGGGGGAUAACGCAGCGAAAGCUGUGCUAAUACCGCAUAAUCCCUAGGGGGGAAAGCGGGGGACCGUAAGGCCUCGCGCAAUUAGAGCGGCCGAUACCUGAUUAGCUAGUUGGUGAGGUAAAGGCUAACCAAGGCAACGAUCAGUAGCUGGUCUGAGAGGACGAUCAGCCACACUGGGACUGAGACACGGCCCAGACUCCUACGGGAGGCAGCAGUGGGGAAUUUUGGACAAUGGGGGCAACCCUGAUCCAGCAAUGCCGCGUGAGUGAAGAAGGCCUUCGGGUUGUAAAGCUCUUUUGUCAGGGAAGAAACAGCAGCUCUAACACAGUAUGCGAAUGACGGUACCUGAAGAAUAAGCACCGGCUAACUACGUGCCAGCCGCCGCGGUAA